GGCCUCCAGCGACGGCCUUCGGGACUAGCAAACGGAGGCC
rnacentral:misc_RNA from 1 species